GGAGUCGGCCAGACAGUCGUCGCCCGCACUGGCAACAGUGUGGGGGGAGGAAAGUCCGGGCUUCACAGGGCAGGGUGCCAGGUAACGCCUGGGAGGCGCGAGCCUACGACCAGUGCAACAGAGAGCAAACCGCCGAUGGCCCGCGCAAGCGGGAUCAGGUAAGGGUGAAAGGGUGCGGUAAGAGCGCACCGCGCGACUGGUAACAGUUCGUGGCACGGUAAACUCCACCCGAAGCAAGACCAAAUAGGUUCCCUACAGGCGCGGCCCGCGCUGGGAACGGGUAGGUUGCUUGAGCCUGUGAGUGAUUGCAGGCCUAGACGAAUGACUGUCCACGACAGAACCCGGCUUAUCGGCUGACUCCUUCU
rnacentral:RNase_P_RNA from 2 species